AUUGAACGCUGGCGGCAUGCCUUACACAUGCAAGUCGAACGGCAGCACGGGAGCAAUCCUGGUGGCGAGUGGCGAACGGGUGAGUAAUAUAUCGGAACGUGCCCAGUCGUGGGGGAUAACGCAGCGAAAGCUGUGCUAAUACCGCAUACGAUCUAUGGAUGAAAGCGGGGGAUCGCAAGACCUCGCGCGAUUGGAGCGGCCGAUAUCAGAUUAGCUAGUUGGUGAGGUAAAGGCUCACCAAGGCGACGAUCUGUAGCUGGUCUGAGAGGACGACCGGCCACACUGGAACUGAGACACGGUCCAGACUCCUACGGGAGGCAGCAGUGGGGAAUUUUGGACAAUGGGCGAAAGCCUGAUCCAGCAAUGCCGCGUGCAGGAUGAAGGCCUUCGGGUUGUAAACUGCUUUUGUACGGAACGAAACGGUGAGCUCUAAUACAGUUUGCUAAUGACGGUACCGUAAGAAUAAGCACCGGCUAACUACGUGCCAGCAGCCGCAGUAA
rnacentral:rRNA from 1 species